rnacentral:rRNA from 1 species
CUCUUAGGCAAAUCCGGGAUCACUUACGCCGAGCACCGAGACGAGUCCUAUGAGGACGAAGUGACUGACACCACGCUUCCAGGAAAAGCCACUAAGCUUCAGCUUAAGAAAAACCGUACCGCAAACCGACACAGGUAGGCAGGGUGAGAAUCCCAAGGCGCUUGAGAGAACUCGGGUGAAGGAACUAGGCAAAAUGGCACCGUAACUUCGGGAGAAGGUGCGCCCUUUGGUGUGGUCACGUGCGUGACUGAGCAUCGAAGGGUCGCAGUAACCUGGCCGCUGCGACUGUUUAUCAAAAACACAGCACUCUGCAAACACGAAAGUGGACGUAUAGGGUGUGACGCCUGCCCGGUGCUGGAAGGUUAAUUGAUGGGGUCAGCCGCAAGGCGAAGCUCUUGAUCGAAGCCCCAGUAAACGGCGGCCGUUACGAUAACGGUCCUAAGGUAGCGAAAUUCCUUGUCGGGUAAGUUCCGACCUGCACGAAUGGCGUAACGACAGCGGCGCUGUCUCCACCCGAGUCUCAGUGAAAUUGAAAUCGCUGUGAAGAUGCAGCGUUCCCGCGGCAAGACGGAAAGACCCCGUGAACCUUUACUAUAGCUUUACACUGAACGUUGAGUUCUUCUGUGUAGGAUAGGAGGGAGGCUAUGAAACCAGGACGCUAGUUCUGGUGGAGCCAUCCUUGAAAUACCACCCUGAAGUGCUUGACGUUCUAACCUAGGCCCGUAAUCCGGGUCAGGGACCGUGUAUGGUGGGUAGUUUGACUGGGGCGGUCUCCUCCCAAAGAGUAACGGAGGAGCACGAAGGUACGCUCAGCGCGGUCGGACAUCGCGCACUGUGUGCAAAGGCAUAAGCGUGCUUGACUGCGAGAUCGACGGAUCAAGCAGGUACGAAAGUAGGUCUUAGUGAUCCGGUGGUUCUGUAUGGAAGGGCCAUCGCUCAACGGAUAAAAGGUACUCCGGGGAUAACAGGCUGAUACCGCCCAAGAGUUCAUAUCGACGGCGGUGUUUGGCACCUCGAUGUCGGCUCAUCACAUCCUGGGGCUGUAGCCGGUCCCAAGGGUAUGGCUGUUCGCCAUUUAAAGUGGUACGCGAGCUGGGUUCAGAACGUCGUGAGACAGUUCGGUCCCUAUCUGUCGUGGGCGUUGGAGAUUUGAGGGGGGCUGCUCCUAGUACGAGAGGACCGGAGUGGACGUUCCGCUGGUGUUCGGGUUGUCAUGCCCAUGGCAUUGCCCGGUAGCUACGAACGGAAGUGAUAACCGCUGAAAGCAUCUAAGCGGGAAGCACGCCCCAAGAUGAGAUCUCCCGAGAGCUUGACUCUCCUAAAGGCACCAUCAAGACUAGGUGGUUGAUAGGUCAGGUGUGGAAGCGCAGCAAUGCGUUGAGCUAACUGAUACUAAUGAGCCGUGAGGCUUGACCU